UACGGGUGGCUGCAGUCGAGGAUCUUCGGCAAUGGGCGCAAGCCUGACCGAGCGAUGCCGCGUGCGCGAUGAAGGCCUUCGGGUUGUAAAGCGCUGUCGAGGGGGAGGAAAGCCCGCAAGGGUCUGACCUAUCCCUGGAGGAAGCACGGGCUAAGUUCGUGCCAGCAGCCGCGGUAAGACGAACCGUGCAAACGUUGUUCGGAAUCACUGGGCUUAAAGGGCGCGUAGGCGGAUGAUCAAGUCAGGGGUGAAAUCUUUCGGCUCAACCGGAAAAUUGCCUUUGAUACUGAUUGUCUUGAGGGAGGUAGGGGCAUGUGGAACUUCCGGUGGAGCGGUGAAAUGCGUUGAUAUCGGAAGGAACGCCGGUGGCGAAAGCGACGUGCUGGACCUCUUCUGACGCUGAGGCGCGAAAGCUAGGGGAGCAAACGGGAUUAGAUACCCUAGUAGUCAUCUUUCUAGA
rnacentral:rRNA from 1 species